UACGUAGGGUGCGAGCGUUAAUCGGAAUUACUGGGCGUAAAGCGUGCGCAGGCGGUAAGUUAAGUCUGAUGUGAAAGCCCCGGGCUCAACCUGGGAAUGGCAUUGGAAACUGGCUUGCUGGAGUGUGGCAGAGGGGGGUGGAAUUCCGCGUGUAGCAGUGAAAUGCGUAGAGAUGCGGAGGAACACCAAUUGCGAAGGCAGCUCGCUGGGACGUCACUGACGCUGAGACGCGAAAGCGUGGGGAGCAAACAGG
rnacentral:rRNA from 1 species